GUUUGAUCAUGGCUCAGGAUGAACGCUAGCGGGAGGCUUAACACAUGCAAGUCGAGGGGCAGCAUAAGGGUAGCAAUACUCUGGUGGCGACCGGCAGACGGGUGAGUAACGCGUAUGCAACCUACCCUGUACAGGGGGAUAACCCGGAGAAAUUCGGACUAAUACCCCAUAAUUUUAUUUAAGGGCAUCCUUGAAUAAUUAAAGAUCCGUCGGUACGGGAUGGGCAUGCGUAACAUUAGCUAGUUGGUAAGGUAACGGCUUACCAAGGCUAUGAUGUUUAGGGGUCCUGAGAGGGUGAUCCCCCACACUGGUACUGAGACACGGACCAGACUCCUACGGGAGGCAGCAGUGAGGAAUAUUGGUCAAUGGGCGCAAGCCUGAACCAGCCAUCCCGCGUGCAGGAAGACGGCCCUAUGGGUUGUAAACUGCUUUUCCGAAAGGCGAAACUUAGCGACGUGUCGUUAAUUGACGGUAUUUCGGGAAUAAGCAUCGGCUAACUCCGUGCCAGCAGCCGCGGUAAUACGGAGGAUGCGAGCGUUAUCCGGAUUCAUUGGGUUUAAAGGGUGCGUAGGCGGACUAAUAAGUCAGUGGUGAAAUCCUGCAGCUUAACUGCAGAACUGCCAUUGAUACUGUUAGUCUUGAGUUUGGUUAAGGUAGGCGGAAUGUGUAAUGUAGCGGUGAAAUGCUUAGAUAUUACACAGAACACCAAUUGCGUGGGCAGCUUACUGGACCGACACUGACGCUGAGGCACGAAAGCGUGGGGAUCGAACAGGGUUAGAUACCCUGGUAGUCCACGCCGUAAACGAUGAUUACUCGCUGUUGGCGAUACACAGUCAGCGGCUAAGCAAAAGCAAUAAGUAAUCCACCUGGGGAGUACGGC
rnacentral:rRNA from 1 species